GGAGGAAUUUAAUGCAAAUGCCAUUGAAUUGGCAAAACUUCAAGAAACUAAGACUAGUCUUCACACGUAAGAAGCUCAAACAACUCAUGACAAGGCAAGCCAAGCUCGGGAGGAAGCUUAAAGAGCUCAAUAAGGUGAUUAUGGAGCUGGCUAAGGAGAAAGGUGCCCCAAGAAGCUAAGCUCCCAAAGUUUCUCCACCGAAUUCGCAUCUGCUCUACUCCGGGGGCUGUUGUCUGUUCGAAUUUUGUUUAUGAGAGCUGUUAUAUGAGGUACACGAGAAUCGACUCCUAAUAAAAUGAACAGCAGACGAGAAGCGCCAAGCUCAAAGAAAAAGUGAUAUGAGGUUAUUUGGGGAUAAAUGCAAAAUAAUUCCAGAACUGAGACUAUUGUUUAAUGUUUAUCAAGACCGUUAGGCAUCUGGGUUUUCUGAGGUACAAAGAGUAUCGGGGUCCCAUUGCGGUGUCUCCUUCUAAGGAUCGGGAGAAUAUUGUCCGAGCUAUUAAUGAAGAAGGACUAAUGUUCCUCCACGAGUCUGCAUCAGGGAGAUCAUGGGAUCAGAGCACACAUCGAUAUGGAAGACAAUGAUCAAGAGUCCUGUCUCAAUCGUUCUAAUAAUCAAUCUACACUUUCAUAUCGAUCUGGUUUGUUGGAGGCCUGACGACUAUCUUAUCAGUACAAAUCAGGGCUGGCUGGCUAGGUGGAGCGGGCAAUCAAUCUCCUUUCCCUUAACAGUAGUAGAAAAUUGUAAAUUUGAUGGAGUUUCACGGAGGGCAUUGUUUGGCAGAAUCAUUACUUCCCGAACCGAACAGUCGGAACUAAUGAGAGCUCGUGGAACUGUCUAAUUUUUCACUUUCCGAUCCUAUAGGUUCAGUCCGGACUGUCUACUGUCGAUGGCCUAGAUUGCUCAGGACUGCAUGUGAUUCUUCUGGUAAAAUGCACUUAUUGGUACUUUGUUCAAUAAAUGAUAUCUGAUACCUCGCGGCAUCAAACCUGGAAAAUCUAUCCGGACAGAUGGU